AUUGAACGCUGGCGGCAGGCCUAACACAUGCAAGUCGAACGGUAACAGGAAGAAGCUUGCUUCUUUGCUGACGAGUGGCGGACGGGUGAGUAAUGUCUGGGAAACUGCCUGAUGGAGGGGGAUAACUACUGGAAACGGUAGCUAAUACCGCAUAACGUCGCAAGACCAAAGAGGAGGACCUUCGGGCCUCUUGCCAUCGGAUGUGCCCAGAUGGGAUUAGCUAGUAGGUGGGGUAACGGCUCACCUAGGCGACGAUCCCUAGCUGGUCUGGGAGGAUGACCAGCCACACUGGAACUGAGACACGGUCCAGACUCCUACGGGAGGCAGCAGUGGGGAAUAUUGCACAAUGGGCGCAAGCCUGAUGCAGCCAUGCCGCGUGUAUGAAGAAGGCCUUCGGGUUGUAAAGUACUUUCAGCGGGGAGGAAGGGUGUAAAGUUAAUACCUUUGCUCAUUGACGUUACCCGCAGAAGAAGCACCGGCUAACUCCGUG
rnacentral:rRNA from 1 species